ACAAGAUGUUAAGAGUAGAUGGUGGAUGCCUUGGGUAGUAGAGGCGAUGAAGGACGCACUAGACUGCGAUAAGCUACGGGGAGCUGUCAAGAAGCAUUGAUCCGUAGAUCUCCGAAUGGGGCAACCCAACUUACAGCAAUGUAAGUUACUCUAUUUUUAGAGAGCGAACCUAGCGAAGUGAAACAUCUCAGUAGCUAGAGGAAAAGAAAUCAACGAGAUUCCCUCAGUAGUGGCGAGCGAAAGGGGAGAAGGGCAAACCGCGUGCUUGCACGCGGGGUUGAGGACGGCAACAUUCAAGGGGUUUAUCUAGCAGAGUUGCUUGGAAAAGCAAGCCAUAGAAGGUGAUAGCCCUGUAUGCGAAAGAUACACCCUAGAUAGCCGUAUCCAGAGUAGGCCAGGACACGAGAAAUCCGGGCUGAAGCCGGGGAGACCACUCUCCAACCCUAAAUACUACUACUACACCGAUAGCGCACAAGUACCGUGAGGGAAAGGUGAAAAGAACCGUGGGUAACGGAGUGAAAUAGAACCUGAAACCAUCUACUUACAAUCAUUCAGAGCCCUAUUGUGGGUCCCUUUGAGGGAUUGGGUCUUUUUUUGAGGUUUUUGGUGUUGGUUUUUUAAAAUUGCUUAAGCACUUUUUUAUAUGCCUUUUGGCAUGCUAUGACCUUUCUCUCUAGUGGGUCUACCCUAGAGAGGCUUUCAUAUUUUUUGAAAGGAGCUUGCAUGUUUUUUAUAGGACCUCCCCAUGUAGUCGUUAAUGCUGACGGCUAUAAUGGUAGCGAGCCAGUGCGGAAGUGUCCACACUGCGGGCAGGUAAAACCCAUCCUGAGUGGUUUCGGCUAUCGGGAUAUGGGAAAUGGCACGCUCAGAAACCAGUCUUGGUGUAGAGUUUGCAGGUAAACUUUAGCUUUGUCUAAGGAAUGUUGCCGUUUUGCACCCUAAGGGUGCAAGUUAGCCAAAGCAGUUAAAAACAACCAACCAAAAAUAAAGAUUUCAAUUUUUCAAAGGGAUCCACAAGGGUGAUGGACUGCCUUUUGCAUAAUGAUCCUGCGAGUUGUGGUGUCUGGCAAGGUUAAGUGAAAACGAGCCGUAGCGAAAGCGAGUCUGAAUAGGGCGCAUUAGUCAGACGCUGCAGACCCGAAGCCAAGUGAUCUAUCCAUGGCCAAGUUGAAACGAGUGUAACAGCUUGUGGAGGACUGAACCCGUGCCCAUUGAAACGGGCUGGGAUGAGCUGUGGAUAGGGGUGAAAGGCCAAACAAACUUGGUGAUAGCUGGUUCUCUUCGAAAUAUAUUUAGGUAUAGCCUCAAGUGAUAGCAAAGGGGGGUAGAGCUCUGAUUGGGCUAGGGCUGCUCGCCGCAGUACCAAACCCUGUCAAACUGCGAAUACCUUUUGUUGUAUCUUGGGAGUCAGGCGGUGGGUGAUAAAAUCAAUCGUCAAGAGGGAAACAACCCAGACUACCAACUAAGGUCCCCAAGUUCUAUUCUGAGUGGAAAAAGAUGUGUGGUUACUCAAACAACCAGGAGGUUGGCUUAGAAGCAGCCAUCCUUUAAAGAAAGCGUAACAGCUCACUGGUCUAGUGAUCAUGCGCUGAAAAUAUAACGGGGCUAAGAUAGACACCGAAGUUGUAGAUUGCUCUUUUAGAGCAGUGGUAGAAGAGCGUUCUGUGCAGCGUUGAAGGCAUACCGGCAAGGAGUGCUGGAGCGCACAGAAGUGAGCAUGCAGGAAUGAGUAGCGAUAAGAUGCGUAAGAAUCGUAUCCGCCGUAAAUCUAAGGUUUCCUACGCGAUGUUCGUCAUCGUAGGGUUAGUCGGGUCCUAAGCCAAGUCCGAAAGGGGUAGGCGAUGGGAAAUAGGUUAAUAUUCCUAUACCAAUUGUAACGCGCGAUGGGAGGACGCAUAAAGUUAGGUGAGCUAGCUGAUGGAAGUGCUAGUCGAAGGGUGUAGAUUGGGAGAGAGGCAAAUCCGCUCCUGUAUUUGAAACCUGACAGGCUCUUAGCGACCUUCGGGUUAAUAAGAGAAUCACUGAUACUAUCGUGCCAAGAAAAGUCUCUAAGUUUAGUUGCAAUUGUCCGUACCGCAAACCGACACAGGUAGAUGAGAUGAGUAUUCUAAGGCGCGUGGAAGAACUCUCUUUAAGGAACUCUGCAAACUAGCACCGUAAGUUCGCGAUAAGGUGUGCCUACUCUAAGUAGUCUCAGCAAAGAGUCCCUCCCGACUGUUUACCAAAAACACAGCACUUUGCCAACUCGUAAGAGGAAGUAUAAGGUGUGACGCCUGCCCGGUGCUCGAAGGUUAAGAGGAUGGGUUAGCCCAACGGCGAAGCUUUGAAUUGAAGCCCGAGUAAACGGCGGCCGUAACUAUAACGGUCCUAAGGUAGCGAAAUUCCUUGUCGGUUAAAUACCGACCUGCAUGAAUGGCGUAACGAGAUGGGAGCUGUCUCAAAGAGAGAUCCAGUGAAAUUGUAGUGGAGGUGAAAAUUCCUCCUACCCGCAGCAAGACGGAAAGACCCCGUGGACCUUUACUACAGCUUAGCACUGCUAAUGGGAAUGCCAUGCGCAGGAUAGGUGGGAGGCUUUGAAGCAAGGGCUUUGGCUCUUGUGGAGCCAUCCUUGAGAUACCACCCUUGGCGUUUUUGUUAGCUAACUGGCUUAUGUCAUCCAUAAGCAGGACAAUGCUUGGUGGGUAGUUUGACUGGGGCGGUCGCCUCCUAAAAAGUAACGGAGGCUUACAAAGGUUAGCUCAUGGCGGUUGGAAAUCGCUAAGUUGAGUGUAAUGGCACAAGCUAGCUUAACUGCAAGACAAACAGGUCAAGCAGAGACGAAAGUCGGUCAUAGUGAUCCGGUGGUUCUCGUGUGGGAGAGCCAUCGCUCAAAGGAUAAAAGGUACCCCGGGGAUAACAGGCUGAUCUCCCCCAAGAGCUCACAUCGACGGGGAGGUUUGGCACCUCGAUGUCGGCUCAUCGCAUCCUGGGGCUGGAGCAGGUCCCAAGGGUAUGGCUGUUCGCCAUUUAAAGCGGUACGCGAGCUGGGUUCAGAACGUCGUGAGACAGUUCGGUCCCUAUCUGCUGUGGGCGUAGGAAAGCUGAGGAGAGCUGUCCCUAGUACGAGAGGACCGGGAUGGACAUGCCACUGGUGCACCAGUUGUUCUGCCAAGAGCACCGCUGGGUAGCUACGCAUGGUUGUGAUAAGAGCUGAAAGCAUCUAAGCUCGAAGCCAACUCCAAGAUGAGCUUUCCCUGAAGCUCGCAUGAAGACUACAUGUUUGAUAGGGUGGGUGUGUAAGUGCAGUAAUGCAUUCAGCUAACCACUACUAAUAGAGCGUUCGGCUUGUUUGG
rnacentral:rRNA from 1 species